rnacentral:lncRNA from 1 species
CUUCUGUAUCUUGGAAAGAACAAGUCCCAUCAAGGUUGUUUAAAAUGUACUUUUCUAUAAGAUUUACCCAUUUCUCAUUCAUUCCAUUAUAGAUUUGGAAAGAUAUUCCAGUAUGGAGUAGAAGGAUGAGACUCCCCCAUAGCUUCCGUGGAUAUCUCUUAAUACAGGCAGAUUAAGAAAGCAAAUGAAUCCGUGGGUUUCCGAAGAACAGGACAAUCAAAUAGUGAAAGAAUGCUGUGCAUUUUUAGCCCUCUAUCCUCUGUAUUCAGCCAUUUGCCACUUUCUGCCCUCCCUUCCUGUGCAAUAGACUUCCUCCUGGACUUGCCCUGUUAGCCUUUAGAACAGAAGACCCGAGGCCCUCUCUUUCUCGGGUCUCAAGCUGAUGGGGUAAUCAUACCUGGUAGAAGUUUGUACCGAGAGCUUGGGUGCCCUCGUUCCUUGAGUGACAGCUUGAUACUCCCUUACCCUCACUAUUCAGUCACAAAUACGUGACUGGGUGAAGAUGUGCGAAGGCUCUGUCGUGCAGCAGACACUGCAGUGCGAGUAACACUGAGUUGAGACUCGGGUCAUGUUCUUCAAUUUGAAUGUGAGUCUAGUUUGCUGUUCAUUUCAGAGAAAAGAGGAUGGGGGAGACUCCAAUGUGCUGGGCGAGGACUCAGUCUCAGCCUCCUGCCUCGUGUUCUAAAGCGAUCAUACUAUUCAUUUACUGCACAAAUAUUCAUUUUUUGCCAUUCGUGUGACUCCCUUCGUCUGACUCCACUACACAGGAAUGAAUGCAGCAUUCCUGCCCUCAUGGAGCUUGAAGUCUCACCGGGGCUCCCACGAAAAGACUGAAGAAAGGACGGUUACGAAAGGAAACAGGUUACAAAUUGUGAUCAUGGACACCGAAGAAGCCAAUGGGAGACCGAGCAGGGAAUUCAGGCGGAGGGCAGAGGGAGGAGGUCAGGCAAAGUCUGACAAGGCAAGUGACCUCUCCUUGGGGGCAAGAGAGCAGCGCACAGCAGGAAUCAGAGAGCAGGUGAAAUUCACCCAGCCGAAUGACAGACGGAACAGAGCCAGAAGGUCCCCGUGCAUCUCAUUCCCCAGCAGCUGCAAUCCUGUGACGCUGACGGACUCACAGAGAAAGUGCCGAGAGGUCUGGAAAGUCAUCCCAGCUGUGACUUCCAGGUGCCAGGGGUCCGAGACCGGAAGAUUCCAGCAGGGUUUUCCCAGAAUGCACCAUUGUUCUUCAGCCUGGCCUCCACCAUUUCCAACGUACAGGCCAGAAAAUGAGCAGCUGUUCUCUAUGAAAAUGGGACGCCCGUGCACAUUGUGUUCUUCUGAGACCCAAUGCACGUAGCACACCAGCGUCUACGCUGUGCUUCGUGCUUCGGAGAGGAAUCAAGCAUCUGAUGAGAUUUCCAAGACGAGGUGAAGGCAUCCAUUUUAUCACAAGAAUAAAGACAGGCGGUGGCAGCAGCAUCAGGCUGCCACAAAUACCUUAAAAAAAGG